rnacentral:rRNA from 1 species
UACGUAGGGUCCGAGCGUUGUCCGGAAUUAUUGGGCGUAAAGAGCUCGUAGGCGGUUUGUCGCGUCUGCUGUGAAAUCCCGAGGCUCAACCUCGGGCCUGCAGUGGGUACGGGCAGACUUGAGUGCGGUAGGGGAGAAUGGAAUUCCUGGUGUAGCGGUGGAAUGCGCAGAUAUCAGGAAGAACACCGAUGGCGAAAGCAGCUCUCUGGGACGGUACUGACGCUGAGGCGCGAAAGCGUGGGGAGCGAACAGG